rnacentral:rRNA from 1 species
GCACAAGCGUGGAGCAUGUGGUUUAAUUCGACGAUACGCGAAGAACCUUACCUGGCCUUGACAUACUAAAAAGCUUUAAGAGAUUAGAGUGUGCUAGCUUGCUAGAAUUUAGAUACAGGUGCUGCACGGCUGUCGUCAGCUCGUGUCGUGAGAUGUUGGGUUAAGUCCCGCAACGAGCGCAACCCUCGUGUUUAGUUGCUAACAGUUCGGCUGAGAACUCUAAACAGACUGCCUACGCAAGUAGGAGGAAGGUGAGGACGACGUCAAGUCAUCAUGGCCCUUACGGCCAGGGCUACACACGUGCUACAAUGGGGUAUACAAAGAGCAGCGAUACGGUGACGUGGAGCAAAUCUAGAAAAUGCCUCUCAGUUCGGAUUGUAGUCUGCAACUCGACUACAUGAAGUUGGAAUCGCUAGUAAUCGUAGAUCAGCAAUGCUACGGUGAAUACGUUCCCGGGUCUU